rnacentral:lncRNA from 1 species
UUGGGAAGAUUCCCCUGGAGAAGGAAAUAGCAACCCACUCCAGUAUUCUUUUCUGGAAAAUCCUAUGGACAAAGGAGCUUGGUGGGCUGCAGUCCAUGGGGUCACAAAGAGUCAGACAUGACUCAAUGAUGGAGCAACAUGAAACCCAGAUGAGUGAAAGAGAGGAAAAACUUUAUCCCUGGUCAGCUUGAAGUAUUGCUCUGUAAACUGAUCCAUCCUGCUGAUUUUUCAAAGUCUGCAGAAGCCUGAGUGGCCUGUUGCACAGUCUACCCAAGGGACAUGGACUUGGUCAUCCAUGGCACAGAAGAGAUCCGACCUCAAAUCGAGAUAAAGGAGGAUUCUUUACCAGCUGAGCUGCCUGGGAAGCCCACAGAACUGAUUCCCAGUAUCAAAAAGGUUGGGGACCACUGCUGCAAAGGAUCCAUUCAGAAAUAAGGUGAGACUGACAGGUUUAAGGAACUAUUCUUUAACUUGAGUGAAAAAACUAGACAAUAGGUUACAAAACAUUAUAAAAUA